CCGAUGGCACAGGACUUUUAGCCAAGCAGAGAACCCCAUGGUCAGACAUAUGGCCCUAGCAACAGAGCUACCUGACGAGCUGCUGUGAGCAUGAUGGAGGGAGGAGGAGGAGGGAGGAGGCGGUAGGCCAGUGUAUUCCCCUCUCUCUCUCUCUCUCUGUUCAUUAGGGAGCAGGUGAGAAACAUUAACAGCAGCAGCUGCACUGCUCUGCACAUGUGGUUGAGGGCUUGAGCUAGUCCACCCCACUUUCUGUCUGUCCACCAGUGGAAACUCACUCCUUUCUGGGAAAUGCCUAGUGUACACCAGUUACCAGGAAUGCAUUUAGUAAAGGUUUCCUGGACACACAUUAAGCCCAGUCCUGUACUAAAUAGCUCUUUAAAUGGAGAUUCUCUAUUAAAUAUGCUUUUUACUUCUGGAAAACUGUCCCAUUGACACUUCAGACAAUCCCAGUUUCUCUGUUAGAGGUGGUUAGAGGAGAAUGAAUCUGUGAUUAUGUGUUUAUGUUUAAUUCUUUCUAAACAAAAGAAAGAAAGUUCCACACUCUGCUCCCACACUCUGCUCCCACACUCUGCUCCCACACUCUGCUCCCACACUCUGCUCCCACACUCUGCUCCCAAAAAUGUAACGAGUAAACAUAACCAACGUUGCAGCAUGCGGAGUUACAACAUUAAUGCUUGAACCAGGUUGCUUUUCACUAUGUUUUUAUCCUAACCAUUUUUCUGUGUUUACUGAGGUGUUGUUGAAGCUGUCUUCCUGACUUAGCUGACUGGGACCAUGGUACUGGAGGACCAGAGUAGACUGACGGGUCUAUCACUGUCCUUUGGGGUGAGGUAGUAGGUUGUAUAGUUUUAGGGUCAUACCCUUCCUGUCAGAUAACUAUACAACUUACUGUCUUUCCUGAGGUGGCUGCAAUAUCAUCCAUCAUCUCUGCAGAGCUCUCGUCACUUGGACCUCAAUAGGAAUAGGUAUUAUGUACUAAUUCAAGUUUAUAACAUGUUUGUAAUGUCAUUUAUAUUGUAUCUAUGCAUCAUUUGGUUCUGUUCUGGCUCUUUGCAUACUAUAUUUAUUAUUUUGCCAUGAAACUGCUCUGCCUCUAUGAUGUUCGCACGGGGUGAGGUAGUAGGUUGUGUGGUUUCAGGGUAGUGAUUUUGCCCCAUCAGGAGAUAACUAUACAAUUUACUGCCUUCCCUGAAGGGCAGCAAGACUUCACCAGACAACAGCAGAGGCCACCAUUGGCACCACAUGAUACUCUAGCAUGGAAAAUAGGUAUUCAUUGAGGUAUCUAGGUAUAAAAUAGUUAUCUAUCUGUUAAUCAGCUCCAGAGGACACAGGAGCAUUUCAGGUAAAGUCUACUGACAAUCUAUGAUUACCAUGUAGCUAACAUGUUAUUGGAUAACUUUGAAAUGGUAUGUUUUCAAAUUAGUAAUAAAAAUUAUUAUUUUAUAAA